AGUGGCAAUCAUUUAUUAAGCAUUGCCCUGGCCUAAGACACCACAUGGGUCAUUUCUUCCAGGCUCCAACUUGCUUCUGCUUUGCCAUAUGGUAACACGCCGUAUUAUGGAAGCACCAUCAUUACCGCCAUUUGCAGGGGAAGCCUAAAGAGAUAAAUGCCAGCCAGCAUCCCUGUCUCUGGGGCCCUGGAGAGGCCUUCAACACACCUGGCCUCACUGCCCUGUGGCUUCAACAAAGAGGCCGAGCAUCUCCUAUAAACCUUGAGGUCCAUGGAUGACAUAGCGGAAUGAUGGAUUUCAGAAAAGGCAGCACACUGCUGUUACGACUCCAGAACCGAUAAGGAAGCUAUGUGUGGAAGUAUGAGCUCAGGUCGCCUUCUGACCCUCUGUGACGGUCUAUUUCAGGCAGUUAUGGAUAGAUAACAUUACAGACACUGACACAAUGAACAAAAACCAGAGCUUUUGAAUACAGAUUUCCAGUAAAACCAAACCCAGCUUGGGUCAGAUGCACCUUUCCAGCAACCACCAUCUCAGCAACAACCUGCCAGCUGUCAACUGGAAGUUCAGCUUCUGGGAACUUCAGCCCCCUUCUCAGAGGAGCAAGGUCCUAGCACCAACAGCACCUGCAGUGGAGCCCAAGUAUGGCUGCUUCAUGGAGAAGGCAGAUAUUGAAAUGUGAUCACUGAGGCUCAGUGGGAAUCCCUUUGCUCUCAAACUCCCCGAUGCAAUGCCUUCUGAUUUCAACAGAAAAGCAAGAGGCUCCAGGCACCCCAUUCAGGGACUGCCACCAAAGUACCCGCAAAUCCUUCAUGAAAGGGGAGACAUUGACACAUUCUUUUUUUAUUCUCUGGUAGGUAUCUGUUUGCGUGCAAAUCCGUGAGUGCUUGCAUCUCGUGUAUUUGAAAAUCCUGUUUAAGAAUGCAGAGGUCCAUAUAGUGUCAUUAAAACAAAUGAGUAUAACCCUUUGGUCAUCUAGGUGAAAGCAUUUUGUUGGGUUUUUUUUUUUUCAAAUUGCUAUUGCUAUAUAUAAAUGUAACGUAUAGCAAUAACCGUAGAAAGAUACUGUGCCCUUGUGUAUGGAUAAUUAAAAUAGGAACAUCUCUGGACUAAAUUAAAAUGUGUAAAAACCAAA
rnacentral:lncRNA from 1 species